AGUGACCAUAGUAGAAAUAAAAAACCCGUUCCCAUUCCGAUCACGGUAGUUAAGGUUUCUACGCCGAUGGUACUGUCUAACGAUGGGAGAGUAGGUAUUG
rnacentral:rRNA from 1 species